UGCAAGUCGAGCGCAGGAAGCUGACGGAACUCUUCGGAGGGAAGGCAGUGGAAUGAGCGGCGGACGGGUGAGUAACACGUAAGGAACCUGCCUCAAGGAUUGGGAUAACUCCGAGAAAUCGGAGCUAAUACCGGAUAGUUCAACGGACCGCAUGGUCCGCUGAUGAAAGGCGCUCCGGCGUCACCUUGAGAUGGCCUUGCGGUGCAUUAGCUAGUUGGUGGGGUAACGGCCCACCAAGGCGACGAUGCAUAGCCGACCUGAGAGGGUGAUCGGCCACACUGGGACUGAGACACGGCCCAGACUCCUACGGGAGGCAGCAGUAGGGAAUCUUCCACAAUGGACGAAAGUCUGAUGGAGCAACGCCGCGUGAGUGAUGAAGGUUUUCGGAUCGUAAAACUCUGUUGUAAGGGAAGAACACGUACGAGAGGGAAUGCUCGUACCUUGACGGUACCUUACGAGAAAGCCACGGCUAACUACGUGCCAGCAGCCGCGGUAAUACGUAGGUGGCAAGCGUUGUCCGGAAUUAUUGGGCGUAAAGCGCGCGCAGGCGGCCUCUUAAGUCUGAUGUGAAAGCCCCCGGCUCAACCGGGGAGGGCCAUUGGAAACUGGGAGGCUUGAGUACAGAAGAGAAGAGUGGAAUUCCACGUGUG
rnacentral:rRNA from 1 species